CUCGAAUACCUUUAACAUUUAUCGCCUUGUUAGUCUCCACAUCCACCUCCGUGAAAGAAUCCGAAAGUCAUCUGAGUUGGCUAUCUGCACGUUCUCUCUGUACCAGUGAACUUGAACUGUGGCUGUGGCCUGGAUUCCGCAUUCAAACAUGACCAACUGACCUCUGGUUGUAGGGAUGUCUUGAAGAUGCUGAAGAACAAACACAGAGUUCAGAGGAUGGAAGAAACUGUUAUACCAUCUACAAUGAUUUGAAAUGCCAUUUGCAACUGCAGUUGACCGUGGGUUAUUGAAACCACAGAAAGUGA
rnacentral:lncRNA from 1 species